UUGUUGCGAGCGGGCAGCGGUCGGGGGAAGACGGAGGAGGCGAGCGUUGUUCGGAGGUACGGGGCGUAGAGGGGGGGUAGGCGGUUGGUUAAGUGUGGUGUGAAAUCUCCCGGCUCAACGGGGAGGGUGCGCCGAAUACUGAAUGACUAGAGUGCGGGAGAGGAAAGUGGAAUUCCUGGUGUAGCGGUGAAAUGCGUAGAUAUCAGGAGGAACACCGGUGGUGUAGACGGCUUUCUGGACCGUAACUGACGCUGAGACACGAAAGCGUGGGUAGCAAACAGGAUUAGAUACCCCGGUAGUC
rnacentral:rRNA from 1 species